rnacentral:rRNA from 1 species
UACGUAGGGACCAAGCGUUGUUCGGAUUUACUGGGCGUAAAGGGCGCGUAGGCGGCAAAUUAAGUCAUCUGUGAAAUCUCCGAGCUUAACUCGGAACGGUCAGGUGAUACUGAUCUGCUAGAGUGCGGAAGGGGCAAUCGGAAUUCUUGGUGUAGCGGUGAAAUGCGCAGAUAUCAGGAGGAACACCGGUGGCGAAGGCGGGUCUCUGGGCCGAUACUGACGCUGAGGAGCGAAAGCGUGGGGAGCGAACAGG